rnacentral:rRNA from 1 species
CCAAUAGCGUAUAUUAAAGUUGUUGCAGUUAAAAAGCUCGUAGUUGAAUUUCGAGAUCAAAUUGUUGGUCGUGCCUCGGUACGUACUGGUAAUUUUGGUUUCUCCCUUCUGAAGAACCAUGAUGUCAUUAGUUUGGUGUCUUGGGGAAUCAGGACUGUUACUUUGAAAAAAUUAGAGUGUUUAAAGCAGGCUCGCGCUUGAAUACAUUAGCAUGGAAUAA